CCUACGGGAGGCAGCAGUGAGGAAUAUUGGUCAAUGGGCUUACGCCUGAACCAGCCAAGUCGCGUGAGGGAAGACUGCCCUAUGGGUUGUAAACCUCUUUUGUCAGGGAGCAACGCCGGCUACGUGUAGCCGGACUGAGAGUACCUGAAGAAAAAGCAUCGGCUAACUCCGUGCCAGCAGCCGCGGUAAUACGGAGUAUGGGAGUGUUAUUCGGUUUUAUUGGGUUUAAAGGGUGCGUAGGCGGAAUGCGAAGUCAGAGGUAAACUCGCGGGGCUAACCCUCGCUCCGACGUUGAAACUGGCGGUCUUGAGUGGGCGAGAGGUAUGCGGAAUGCGUGGUGUAGCGGUGAAAUGCAUAGAUAUCACGCAGAACUCCGAUUGCGAAGGCAGCAUACCGGCGCCCAACUGACGCUGAAGCACGAAAGCGUGGGUAUCGAACAGGAUUAGAUACCCCAGUAGUC
rnacentral:rRNA from 1 species